rnacentral:rRNA from 1 species
AACGAACGCUGGCGGCAUGCCUAACACAUGCAAGUCGAACGAGACCUUCGGGUCUAGUGGCGCACGGGUGCGUAACGCGUGGGAACCUGCCUUUAGGUUCGGAAUAACUCAGAGAAAUUUGAGCUAAUACCGGAUGAUGUCUUCGGACCAAAGAUUUAUCGCCUUUAGAUGGGCCCGCGUUGGAUUAGCUAGUUGGUGGGGUAAAGGCCUACCAAGGCGACGAUCCAUAGCUGGGCUGAGAGGAUGAUCAGCCACACUGGGACUGAGACACGGCCCAGACUCCUACGGGAGGCAGCAGUGGGGAAUAUUGGACAAUGGGCGAAAGCCUGAUCCAGCCAUGCCGCGUGAGUGAUGAAGGCCUUAGGGUUGUAAAGCUCUUUUACCCGAGAUGAUAAUGACAGUAUCGGGAGAAUAAGCUCCGGCUAACUCCGUG